AGCGUUGUGCAGUGGCAGUGUCCUAGCCAACAAGUUUUAUCUGAGGCACGAUUAUUGCUAAUUGAAAACUUUUCCCAGCACCAAACCAUGACAACUUGCAAUAUAGUCAGCAUUGGCAAUUUUUGAUAGUCUCUAUGGAGA
ensembl:snRNA U4 U4 spliceosomal RNA